AACGAACGCUGGCGGCAGGCCUCAAACAUGCAAGUCUAGGGGGUGCAGCAAUGCAUCACCGGCGGACGGGUGCGUAACGCGUGGGAAUAUACCUUUUGGUUCGGAACAACUGCGGGAAACUGCAGCUAAUACCGAAUGUGCCCUAACGGGGAAAGAUUUAUCGCCAAAGGAUUAGCCCGCGUAGGAUUAGCUAGUUGGUGAGGUAAUGGCUCACCAAGGCUCCGAUCCUUAGCNGUUCUGAGAGGAAGAUCAGCCACACUGGGACUGAGACACGGCCCAGACUCCUACGGGAGGCAGCAGUUGGGAAUCUUGGACAAUGGGGAACCCUGAUCCAGCCAUGCCGCGUGAGUGAUGAAGGCCUUAGGGU
rnacentral:rRNA from 1 species